rnacentral:antisense_RNA from 1 species
AAUUUUUGGUGACUGCGCUCCCUCUAAGCCAGUUACCCGGUACAUAAGUUGGUAGCUCAUGUACCUUCCAAAAACCACCGUUGGUAGCGGUGGUUUUUAUU